rnacentral:rRNA from 1 species
GACGAACGCUGGCGGCGUGCUUAACACAUGCAAGUCGUACGGUAAGGCCCUUUAGGGGGUACACGAGUGGCGAACGGGUGAGUAACACGUGAGUAACCUGCCCACAACUUAGGGAAAACGCUAGGAAACUGGUGCUAAUAGUGGAUAUGUGCUCCUGCUGCAUGGUGGGGGGUGGAAAGCUCCGGCGGGUGUGGAUGGACUCGCGGCCUCUCAGCUUGUUGGUGGGGUAGUGGCCUACCAAGGCGGCGACGGGUAGCCGGCCUGAGAGGGUGACCGGCCACUCUGGGACGGAGCGACGGCCCAGCCUCCUACGUGUGGCAGCAUUGCUUAAUAUUGCACCAUGGUCGCCAGCCUGAUGCCGCAACGCCUCCUGCGGGAUGACGGCCUUCCGGUUGCAAGACGCUUUCAGCAGGGGCGAAGCUUUUUUUGACGGUACCUGCUGAAGAAGCACCGGCUAACUCCGUG